rnacentral:rRNA from 1 species
AAGUUCCUUCGGGGACGGAUUAGCGGCGGACGGGUGAGUAACACGUGGGUAACCUGCCUCAUAGAGGGGAAUAGCCUUUCGAAAGGAAGAUUAAUACCGCAUAAGAUUGUAGCUUCGCAUGAAGUAGCAAUUAAAGGAGUAAUCCGCUAUGAGAUGGACCCGCGUCGCAUUAGCUAGUUGGUGAGGUAACGGCUCACCAAGGCGACGAUGCGUAGCCGACCUGAGAGGGUGAUCGGCCACAUUGGGACUGAGACACGGCCCAGACUCCUACGGGAGGCAGCAGUGGGGAAUAUUGCACAAUGGGGGAAACCCUGAUGCAGCAACGCCGCGUGAGUGAUGAAGGCCUUCGGG